CCUACGGGAGGCAGCAGUGGGGGAUAUUGGACAAUGGGGGAAACCCUGAUCCAGCGACGCCGCGUGAGUGAAGAAGUAUUUCGGUAUGUAAAGCUCUAUCAGCAGGGAAGAAAGAAAUGACGGUACCUGAGUAAGAAGCCCCGGCUAACUACGUGCCAGCAGCCGCGGUAAUACGUAGGGGGCAAGCGUUAUCCGGAAUUACUGGGUGUAAAGGGAGCGUAGACGGUAAUGCAAGUCUGGAGUGAAAGGCGGGGGCCCACCCCCCGGACUGCUCUGGAAACUGUGUAACUGGAGUGCAGGAGAGGCAGGCGGAAUUCCUAGUGUAGCGGUGAAAUGCGUAGAUAGUAGGAGGAACACCAGUGGCGAAGGCGGCCUGCUGGACUGUAACUGACGUUGAGGCUCGAAAGCGUGGGGAGCAAACAGGAGUAGAUACCCUUGUAGUC
rnacentral:rRNA from 1 species